GUGACUGAUAAAACGUGUCAAAAGUGGUUUGUGAAGUUUUGUGCUGGUGAUUUCUCACUGGACAAUGCUCCAUGGCCGGGUAGACCAGUUGAAGUUGAUAGUGAUCAAAUAGAGACAUUAACUGAGAAAAAUCUGUGAUAUCCUAGUGGAUGCUUUUUAAAGCUGUUGAUGCUGUACAUCAAGGAAAAGCUUUUGCAUCUCUUAUCAACCUGAGUGGGUACUAAUUGCACUUCUGAGUUUUGUCUUCUGGGAGUUCAGAAGGUGAAAUAGCAAAGGUUUAAUCAGAGUCCUGAUGUGACCCAGGUUAGGAAAUAACAAAACAAACUUGAACUCCUGUUCACCCACCUGAGAGGAAGAAAAAUACAAAAGGAAGUGGAAAACAACCAAACCUCAGAUGGAGGGAGCAAGUGGCAAGUGCCCUUCUUAAGAAUACCAAGAAAACAGCAUUGGCAUGGAAACCAGACAGUGGAGGGGGGAGCUGCCAGGGGAACAGCAAGGAGUCAGUCCCGCAGGGACUGUCCUGGUUGUCUCAUCUGUUUGCCCCUGACCUGAGGGGACUGAACACCAAGCAUCUCAUUUGAUUUGUAUGUUCUUGUGUGACUCCAAGUGUUAGGAAUUGCCACUGUUAUGACUAAUAUACAGAUUCACUUUAAAGUAGCACUGAAUUCGUAAUUCAUAAAUUAUUUUCUCAGUGAACAGGCUCCUUUAUGUGGAAAGAGGCCUGUGAAAAUUUUAGAUGUUUAAAAGAGGUUUUCAUGCUUUCUUAAAAAGAUUAUAAUGACUGUUAUAUUGAAUGCAAUUAUUUUCUCCCCAGUGGUAGUCUCCUGUUGGUUACCCAUCAGGAAUGUUUGAAUUUUUUGGCACAAAUCUUGACUGUCUGCUUGUGUCUGGGGAAGGGAUAGGUUAGGAGAGAGAAGCAAUGGGAAUAUAAUAAAGAGUGGCCCUUAGCAAACUGUGGAUGCUGUGUGCCAUUACCACCAUCCUCCUUCCAGCCCGCCCACCCUGCUACUAGGCAACAGUUAGCACAGGACCUUUAGUGGUCCUGCUCAGCCAUUUGUUGUCUCCUCAGUGGCUCCCCCCCGCCCUGCCCCCCAAACAGCCGUCAGUGAGUGACCAUUAAUGAUCCUGCUCAGUCAUUGGUCGGUGCCACAGUGGGCCCCUCCCACAAGCGACCAACUGUCCAGGAGCAACCUUAGUGAGGCCAUUCAGCCAACCUUCAGUGGAGUGGUGGUCGUCAGGCAGAGGGUAAGAUUAGUUUCCUGGGCAUCUUAACAACUGGCUCCCUCUCAUUCCACCUCUGUCUUUACCAGGUGAAAUCUGCAGAUACUAGAGUGGCAGUGGCCAUGGAUGUAUCCUUUUGAAGCAAUAGUACAUCUAAGGGUGGUGGUAGUUCUGGACCACUGAAUUUUUUUUUGUAUUACAAGAAAGGAAGAAAUGACAGUCUCCACUGAAGAGCCAUCUUUGGUGACUGUGGAGACACCAGCCUUCCUCAAGCUGAAGAACUUGGUGUGAUGUGAUCCUCUCCCACAGCAUCCUCAUCCCUAUAGCCAGGUGCCCAGAGAUUUCUACAAGCUGAGGCCUCAGGUUGGGCUCACAGCCCCAUCUCCUUCCGCAAGACCUGACCGCGCUCCUGCACACGGGGCGGAGGAAGCCUUUGCCCGCCGCACCUCCUCUUCCCAGUCACUCCCUUCUGCGCGGAAAGGAGAGUGCCGCCCCCCUUCUCUUGCAGGCCAGUCCCUGUCAUUUAAACUGUGCUGCUUGAUUGCCCACGUGGAACCCCCUCAGCUAAUCCAACAGUACAAGAUACCUCCCCAAUCCUGCCAAAGAAUUCAGCAAAAAGCCUGCUUCCUAUUCUCUGGGGAUGAAAUAGGAUGGAUUUCAUACCUGAAAGAUGAAAGAGAUUUGAAUCCAAACACAAAUAGUAGCUCUCAGUCACUUGACUGGAACUCUGCUGAGACUGGCAAACCCAUCACCUGACAAAGUUCACUCACAGUGAGCUCCAAGGAAAAGUUGGAACCUAACAUCAGCUUUUGGAGUUGGAGUUGCCUAACUCAGAAGUCAAAAAAUCUCAUGGGUGUUUCUGACUGAGCUCCAAACCCUGAAGCAAAGCAAGUGCUGGAUGUCUGGGCUGGAGGGCAAUCUUUAACAACAUCAUCCUAUGCUUAACUCAGUUAUCACUCAUCACAUCUCCCGAUACUCAGUCAUUUUCUCCAGGCACACUUCUGCACCUCAUCUUCUUCCCUUAAGGAGAAGUGACUGAUUGGAAUCAGGCUCCCAGAACUGCACUGGCGCGAAAUGGUGCGUUAGGAACACGUUGCACCAAACCCUCGGCGCGACUUCCCUCGGCCUAGCGACCAAGGCUGUGGAACGACAGGUCUGUUGCACUCCGAACGUGGAAGGUAAAGCAGAAAAAGACAACCGUGAGCAGGACGGGAAAGUCUCUCUGCGGUGCCAGGUUGUUCGCUGGGGAGCCCCUACCCGGCCGGGCUGACUCACUCCCAGCCGCCU